GUCAGUGUUGAGGCUGCAUCGGGCUUUCGCUCUACACAACAAAGGGCAAACCGCCUUGCGUCAACACGGACUUCAGGGUGAAACUCGUCCUUGAGCGUCCUCCGGUUUGCUUGUUGUCCAGAAAAGCUGAAAAGACUCGCGCAGCCCAGCCAGGGGACGCCUAAUUGUCGAUGGAAAUUAGACAACACUCGCAGACUCGUCCUCUGAAGGUGGAGCCUACAGUGUUUCAGGACCCCAUCCUGCUGGACCUGCUGGUGCAGAUGCUGAAGGAGACCCAGGAGAGCGAGGACAUGAACGUGGACAUGCUGAAGUACACUCAGAAAGAUCUGGACACUGUGCUGGAAAUGACCCGAAAACAGGCGGAGGAGAGAGAGGUGGCUCUGAAGGUGCUGCAUGCUGAGAGAAAGGCGACUCUGCACGCUCUGCGCGCUGAGAUCAAUAGGCUCAGGCGGGAUCUUCAGCACAUAAUGUAGUGUACACUAGCUGUAAACACCUGUUUAUCUGUGUUUAUUUACAGUCACAGUGUUUAACCUCAUGCUUCCUACUGUUGGAAAUAAAAUAUACAUGAAAUAAAACACGAGGGUAUGAGUA
ensembl:lncRNA